rnacentral:rRNA from 1 species
GAUGAACGCUAGCGGCAGGCCUAAUACAUGCAAGUCGAACGGUGUCUUCGGACAUAGUGGCGCACGGGUGCGUAACACGUAUGCAACCUACCUUACAUUGGGGGAUAGCCUUUCGAAAGGGAGAUUAAUACCGCAUAAGACAGUAGCUGGGCAUCCAGCAGCUGUUAAAGAUUUAUCGAUGUAAGCUGGGCAUGCGUCCAAUUAGCUAGUUGGUGAGGUAACGGCUCACCAAGGCAAUGAUUGGUAGGGGAACUGAGAGGUCAAUCCCCAACACUGGCACUGAGAUACGGGCCAGACUCCUACGGGAGGCAGCAGUAGGGAAUAUUGGGCAAUGGACGCAAGUCUGACCCAGCCAUGCCGCGUGCAGGAUGAAGGCGUUAUGCGUUGUAAACUGCUUUUAUACAGGAAGAAACGACUCUUGCGAGAGGCAUUGACGGUACUGUAUGGAUAAGCACCGGCUAACUCCGUGCCAGCCGCCGCAGUAAAAC